rnacentral:rRNA from 1 species
AAUAGAUACCCUGGUAGUCCAUGCCGUAAACGAUGUCUACUAGCCGUUGGGGCCCUUGAGGCUUUAGUGGCGCAGCUAACGCGAUAAGUAGACCGCCUGGGGAGUACGGUCGCAAGACUAAAACUCAAAUGAAUUGACGGGGGCCCGCACAAGCGGUGGAGCAUGUGGUUUAAUUCGAUGCAACGCGAAGAACCUUACCUGGCCUUGACAUACAGAGAACUUUCCAGAGAUGGAUUGGUGCCUUCGGGAACUCUGAUACAGGUGCUGCAUGGCUGUCGUCAGCUCGUGUCGUGAGAUGUUGGGUUAAGUCCCGCAACGAGCGCAACCCUUUCCUUAUUUGCCAGCACUUCGGGUGGGAACUUUAAGGAUACUGCCAGUGACAAACUGGAGGAAGGCGGGGACGACGUCAAGUCAUCAUGGCCCUUACGGCCAGGGCUACACACGUGCUACAAUGGUCGGUACAAAGGGUUGCUACUGCGCGAGCAGAUGCUAAUCUCAAAAACGCCGAUCGUAGUCCGGAUCGC